CACACAGUAAACGAUGAAUACUCGCUGUUUGCGAUAUACAGUAAGCGGCCAAGCGAAAGCAUUAAGUAUUCCACCUGGGGAGUACGCCGGCAACGGUGAAACUCAAAGGAAUUGACGGGGGCCCGCACAAGCGGAGGAACAUGUGGUUUAAUUCGAUGAUACGCGAGGAACCUUACCCGGGCUUAAAUUGCAGUGGAAUGAUGUGGAAACAUGUCAGUGAGCAAUCACCGCUGUGAAGGUGC
rnacentral:rRNA from 2 species